AUUAAUUCGAUGCAACGCGAAGAACCUUACCAAGGCUUGACAUACACCGGAAACGGCUAGAGAUAGUCGCCUCUUCGGACUGGUGUACAGGUGGUGCAUGGUUGUCGUCAGCUCGUGUCGUGAGAUGUUGGGUUAAGUCCCGCAACGAGCGCAACCCUCGUUCUAUGUUGCCAGCACGUAAUGGUGGGAACUCAUGGAAGACUGCCGGGGUCAACUCGGAGGAAGGUGGGGAUGACGUCAAAUCAUCAUGCCCUUUAUGUCUUGGGCUUCACGCAUGCUACAAUGGCCGGUACAGAGGGUGGCGAUACCGUGAGGUGGAGCGAAUCCCAGAAAGCCGGUCUCAGUUCGGAUCGUAGUCUGCAACUCGACUACGUGAAGUCGGAGUCGCUAGUAAUCGCAGAUCAGCAACGCUG
rnacentral:rRNA from 1 species